rnacentral:tRNA from 1 species
GCAGACUUAGCUCAAUUGGUAGAGCAACUGACUUGGAAGCAGUAGGUUGGGGGUUCAAGUCCUCGAGUCUGCACCA